UUGAGUCCAGCAGACAGUGGUCACUUCCAGUAGCAGGUCCUAAGCUCUGGAGCUGUUCACAGAGCUCAUGAUCCAGACUUGCGUGUGCUUCUGCCUGCAGGUGCUGUAUGGGGUUGAGUACAAUAGAAGAUCACACAGGCUGCAGCUUCA